rnacentral:rRNA from 1 species
AGAGUUUGAUCCUGGCUCAGGAUGAACGCUGGCGGCGUGCCUAACACAUGUAAGUCGAGCGAACAAAGCGAUGUAAAGCCUUCGGGUGGAUCAUCGCGGCGUGAGCGGCGGACGGGUGAGUAAUACGUGGGUAACCUCCCCUGUACACUGGGAUAACGCACCGAAAGGUGUGCUAAUAGCGGAUAAAGUGAACCUUUCGCAUGGAAGGAUCACCAAAGCUCCGGCGGUACAGGAUGGACCCGCGUCCCAUCAGCUAGUUGGUGGGGUAACGGCUCACCAAGGCGACGAUGGGUAGCCGACCUGAGAGGGUGAUCGGCCACACUGCAACUGAGAUACGGUCCAGUACACCUACGGGUGGCAGCAGUGGGAAAUAUUGCACAAUGGGCGAAAGCCUGAUGCAGCGACGCCGCGUGGAGGAUGAAGGCCUUCGGGUCGUAAAGCUCUGUCCUAAGGGAAGAUAAUGACGGUACCUUAGGAGGAAGCCCCGGCUAACUACGUGCCAGCAGCCUCGGUAAUACGUAGGGGGCAAGCGUUUUCCGGAAUCACUGGGCGUAAAGGUUGCGUAGGCGGCUGAUAAAGUCCGAGGUGAAAGGCUACGGCUUAACCGUAGUAAGCAUUGGAAUACUAUUAGGUUGAGUACAGGAGAGGAAAGUGGAAUUCCUAGUGUAGCGGUGAAAUGCGUAGAUAUUAGGUGGAACACCAGUGGCGAAGGCGACUUUCUGGACUGUUACUGACGCUGAGGCACAAAAGCUAGGGGAGCAACAGGAUUAGAUACCCUGGUAGUCCACGCCGUAAACGAUGAGUGCUAGGUGUCGGGGUUCGAACCUCGGUGCCGCAGCUAACGCAUUAACCACUCCGCCUGGGGGGUACGUUCGCAAAAAUUAAACUUAAAUGAAUUGACGGGGACCCGCACAAGCAGCGG